rnacentral:rRNA from 1 species
CGUAGCUGGUCUGAGAGGACGAUCAGCCACACUGGAACUGAGACACGGUCCAGACUCCUACGGGAGGCAGCAGUGGGGAAUUUUGGACAAUGGGCGCAAGCCUGAUCCAGCCAUGCCGCGUGAGUGAAGAAGGCCUUCGGGUUGUAAAGCUCUUUCGGUGGGGACGAAAAGGUCCGUGCUAAUACCACGGACUAAUGACGGUACCCGAAGAAGAAGCACCGGCUAACUACGUGCCAGCAGCCGCGGUAAUACGUAGGGUGCAGGCGUUAAUCGGAAUUACUGGGCGUAAAGCGUGCGCAGGCGGUUUGUUAAGACAGAUGUGAAAUCCCCGGGCUUAACCUGGGAACUGCGUUUGUAACUGGCAAGCUAGAGUGUGGCAGAGG